AAACCUAAUCGAGUCGCUGGAAUCCAGAACCGGCCGCAAGCCUGGAGCGGCGGCAACGGCGAUGAAGCGUUCCCGCCGGUGCGCUGUCCCUCCGCCGGCGACGGCCCAACAACGUCCUACGACGAGGAGGACAGCUGACAAAGUGAUGCUGCUGCUGUUUGAGACGCCCUCUGGAUUUGCAGUUUUCAAUUUUUUUGCGACGCUCAUUGAACAACCAAAUGCCCUGGAGAAAAUAUGGACUAACUUCACUAAGAUUUAGAAGGCCAAGAAUGGAAUAUUUCCAUAAACCACCUAGCGACGACUACAAGCACUAGAACAACAACCGCCACAGAUGAAGGGAAGCGUAGAUCGGAAGGAUCCAACCGGUAGACGCACGAUCGUAGAUGAACGAAGAUCGGAUCCACAGAAGGCAAACGCCAACCGAAUUCCCGCGAGAUCCACCGGAGACAAACCUCCACACACCAUCCAACGACGUUAGAAGCAUCACUGCUGGAGCCCCACCAUGUCUCCCUGAGCAAGACACAACCCCUAGUGAAACUGAAAGAAACACUUAAAAGCAUAGCCCUCCCGCCGGCGAGGACGUGCCUCCAUGGCCCUAAGGGAACAGGAGAUGAGGCAGACCGGCAGAGGCGCGGUGGGAGGGAGCGGAAACCCUAGGUUGGGUGCCCUGUGCACUUAGGAGAAAAGGGGUUGUUUGGCUGAGGCAGUUUCAAACUAUAGAGGACAGUUCUAGCGCCAUUAAUCAAAGCACUGGUGUUAAUGGAAGUCUUACUGAGAUGAUCAUGAAGUAUCACUGCCCUGGGCAGAGAAUGGCUGUUGGAGAGUCUGGAUAUAAAAAAAUCAUUGAAGAAAGAUUGAAAAUAACCUGCGUGUAUGAUCCAACUGUGAUGGAGUUAAUGUGGGGCAUACAGAUUCGUAUGAGACAAUUGGUGCCUAGAGAAAAGUCGUAUCUGCAUGAAUCUCAACUUCUCCCAAUGAGUCAAGGACUACAAAAUGUCUUGAGUCGUUAUCAUUUUACUUAUUUCAACCCGGACAUGGUGAGUUAACUAGUUCACAUGCUUUCCCUUUCAUUUAUAGGGCCAUGACAUUUAGCGUGCCACUGUAUGAUAGUUUCUGUGUUGUACAUUUGGAGUCCUUCAUUUUCACACCAAAGUUCUGAAUGCAACUUCUAGGGAAAGCAUAUCCUUUCGACAUUUGCUUUAGUGAUGAAGCAAUCCUCUUUCUAUCCAGCUCAACGAGAGAAUUCUUAUUAUGGCUUAUGCCUUGUUUGAGUGUGACUCAUUUGAGAACGAGAAGUCUGGAGACUUGCACCAUGUAGCUUCUGUCAUUAAGGAUGUGUCUGGCAUCGAAACUGAUGCUUGGGACUUACUAAAAAUUGCAACAGCUGUGAAGAGGGUAUGGUGCCCUAAAGAAGCUAGCAAUUCUUGUGAGUUUUCAGAACACGAGGUAAAGAGGUUGGUCAAUGAUGCCGAUAAAUAUGAAGUUAAGCUGGAUAAGGAUGCUUGCUUGAAAGUCUCCAGACAAAUGAUAACAGUUUUUCAUUUUAGGAAUGAUAAGAAAAUACUAUUGAAAAAAUAUAUUGCGCAAGCUGAAUAAACGGAACUGCCAGAGAAGCACAAGCUCAUAAUUUGUUCUCUCCAAGAAGUACAUACUAAGCUUGGUUGACUUUAUUAUGUAUCUUUCGCAAGCUACUCUUAUCUGGCAUGCUCAAUAGUACUUUU